rnacentral:rRNA from 1 species
GAUGAACGCUGGAGGCGUGCCUAAUACAUGCAAGUCGAGCGAACGGACGAGAAGCUUGCUUCUCUGAUGUUAGCGGCGGACGGGUGAGUAACACGUGGAUAACCUACCUAUAAGACUGGGAUAACUUCGGGAAACCGGAGCUAAUACCGGAUAAUAUUUCGAACCGCAUGGUUCAAAAGUGAAAGACGGUCUUGCUGUCACUUAUAGAUGGAUCCGCGCUGCAUUAGCUAGUUGGUAAGGUAACGGCUUACCAAGGCAACGAUGCAUAGCCGACCUGAGAGGGUGAUCGGCCACACUGGAACUGAGACACGGUCCAGACUCCUACGGGAGGCAGCAGUAGGGAAUCUUCCGCAAUGGGCGAAAGCCUGACGGAGCAACGCCGCGUGAGUGAUGAAGGUCUUCGGAUCGUAAAACUCUGUUAUUAGGGAAGAACAUAUGUGUAAGUAACUGUGCACAUCUUGACGGUACCUAAUCAGAAAGCCACGGCUAACUACGUG